rfam:Campylobacter avium LMG 24591 chromosome, complete genome.
GGGAGCGACUUGGCUUCGACAGGAGUAGGGAGUUUUAGGUUGCAUAUCGCUUUAGACAUAGCGUUAAAAGUCUGUUUAAAAUUAAACGCAAACAAUACAAAAUUCGCUCCUGCUUACGCUAAAGCUGCGUGAGUUCAGUUGAGCCCUGCCUUAAGCCAUACUAUCUAGCUUAAGAAGCGGGUAAUCUUGAUAGUGUAGUCUUAAAAGCUGACGAUUUUUAAGAUGAAGCUUUAGUCUUAGCUAGGGCAAAAGUUUUGGAAGAUGAGCUUGUCUUAGUGAAAUUUUCAUCUUUGCUAAGUAUGUAGACGCCUUUAAUGCUUUAUUUUUGGACAGGGGUUCGAUCCCCCUCGCUUCCACCA